ensembl:lncRNA
GAACAUGUCAAAACUGUGUCCAAAGUGUCAAUAUUUUGUGUGAGCACCAUUGUUAUCUAGCAUUGCCUUAAUCCUCCUGGGCAUGGAAUUCACAGGUUGGAUGCACAGGUUGUUGUUGGGACCCUCUUCCACUCCUCCAUAAUGGCAUCAUGGAGCUGCUGGAUGUUAGACACAUGGUGGUGUCUGUCUGUUUGUCUGUCUAAUGUCUGUCUGUCUAAUGUCUAUCUAUCUAUCUAUCUAUCUAUCUAUCUAUCUAUCUAUCUAUCUAUCUAUCUAUCUAUCUAUCUAUCUAUCUAUCUAUCUAUCUAUCUGUCUAUCUGUCUGUCUGUCUGUCUGUCUGUCUGUCUGUCUGUCUAUCUAUCUAUGUCUUUCAGUCUAUCUAUCUACAGUAUCUAUCUACCUAUCUAUCUAUCUAUCUAUCUAUCUGUCUGUCUGUCUAUCUAUCUGUCUGUCUGUCUGUCUGUCUGUCUGUCUUUCUAUCUAUCUAUGUCUUUCAGUCUAUCUAUCUAUCUAUCUAUCGAUCUAUCUAUCUAUCUAUCUAUCUAUCUGUCUAUCUAUCUGUCUGUCUGUCUGUCUGUCUAUCUAUCUAUGUUUUUCAGACUAUCUAUCUACAGUAUCUAUCUACCUAUCUAUCUAUCUAUCUUUCUAUCUGUCUGUCUGUCUGUCUGUCUGUCGGUCUGUAUGUCUAUCUAUCUAUCUAUCUAUCUAUCUAUCUAUCUGUCUAUCUAUCUGUCUGUCUGUCUGUCUGUCUGUCUAUCUGUCUGUCUAUCUAUCUAUCUAUCUAUCUAUCUAGCUAUCUGUCUGUCUGUCUGUCUGUCUGUCUGUCGGUCUGUCUGUCUGUCUGUCUGUCUGUCUGUCUAUCUAUCUAUCUAUCUAUCUAUCUAUCUGCCUCGCUAUUUGUCUUUCUGUUUGUGUCUUUCUGCCUAUCCUAUUUAAAUUAUGCAAAUUGUAAGUUUUAAUAUGCAUUUCAGCUGGUUUGAAAGUGUCAUUAAUGUUUUUAUGUAUCCCAUGUGCUUGCAGGUAAAAUAUAAUUAAUGGAUUAGGUAAAAUCACAGUUUUUUGUGUUAAGGUUAACGUCUGACCUUUUACAAUGUUCUUCAUGCAUCUGUCUUUCAGUGCCAGUGUUUUCAUGUUUGU